UAUGUGCACAGCUGCACUUGUCCUUAUUCCUGAGCAUUGGAUAAAGAACCAAAUUCAGUCAUUUCUUUAUUUAGCAAGACCUUUGAACUCAGAUUUAAUCUGUUUUGUUUAAAAUUUCCAGGCUGACCAGGAACUUACUAUAUAGCCCAGGCUGGCCUUGAGCUCAGGAUCUAGCCUUUAUUUCACAAGUGCUGGCAUAACUGGCAUACACUGCCAUGCCCUGCAGUCUCACAGACUGUGAAUUGCAUACUUCAUUUAGCUGUAGUAGUAUGCAUUGGAUAAUAACCUUAACAACUCAUUUUAUUGCAGCAGGAGGUGCCUGGUAUUUAUGAUCCUUAAUAUAGUAAACGUGCACAGCGUUAAUGGCCUCAUAGAUAUUAUGUCCACUGUUUUGCCUUUUAGAUCACAACUCCUGUACGCAUCAAAGCAAAGAGGCUCACUAACACUAUAGCCUCUUUCUUGAAACUAUAAAAACGAUUCCAGUAUUGUCAAUGGUCCUUCAUUUCAUGGAACUAUGUAUGGGCUGUUGAUGUAAAGCCCCUUUCUCAACCUGCUAAUGCACAUAAUAGUAAUUUCAGAAGGAUCAGUUUUAGCCUCAUUUUGAGGUACAGCAGUGGUGGUGACCUAUAAGGUCUCAUGUUGUGGCUUGCUAAUAAUGUCUGAUUGCAUUUGUUCUUUCCUGUUCGCUACAGAAGGACAUCACUGGCCACCCUUAUGCGUUUCCCUUUCACCAGGGAUUGCACAUUGCCAAAGAUUCUCAUGUUUGAACAGUCAAAGUGUAAAACUAUGAUGGCCACAACCAUGUACCGUGAGUACCACUGCGCAUGACUCCUUCCAUUUGAAUAAGAUCCCUACUGUCAGACCCUUUGGCAGUACAGCAAGGGUCGCUAAUCUCUUGGCUUCUCUGUCUUCCUGGACACUGGGUAAGGAUCUCUCCUCUCCUUUCCACUGCCUUUGAUUUCCAGAAGUGUCCAUUACUUUAAGGUCUUAAUAUUUGUGGAAAGGAUGUGGUUUUAAUUAACCACACUGUGUCCCUUGAACAUUAAUAUGCACAAUAGGGGCAUGAUUCAUUCGUUUUAAUAAAAAAUAUCUGGCCAGUUAAUGUGCUUAAAAUCGCACUUAUCCAUGACCUUAUUACUUUGAGGACCAUUGUAUCUCUUUUGCACUAUUGCAAGGGAUACUAUUUUCCCCAAGGUCCCUGCUAGUGGAAAUUUGCCUUUGUCAGUAGACAAAGUCAUAUUCUUUCACCUUUCAUUUGCAGUAUGGCGGGGUAUGCUGAUCAACCAAGGCUGCCUUCUUUUGGACUGUUAAUAUGUAUUAUAUGUUGUAUGUAUAUAUAUGCGUUUCCUCCUGCUCUGUGCACUAGAAAAGGAUCCCACUCACUCCUUAACGCUUUUAGGAGGAAGUGGAAAGUUAACAUGCACACAGUGGCUAAGCACUUGUAUCAGAAACCCUGUACCCUCUUCCUCUGCUUUAACGCAGAAAGAGGUUUUUACACUGUGCUUUUCAUUUGGACUUCAAUGUGCAUUAACGCAAUUGUCCAUCCUUACCUUUGGAGUAGGAUUUUACAUCCUUGUACUCCUUCGACAUCAGAGGCACGUUAACUAUUUUCUGAGCACUUCUCUUACAAAUAUUAAUAUGUACGCUUACACAUACGGACCUGUGUAGCGCAAAAAGGUUCCUAAGUUCCUACCUUUUGACUGGGGCUGCUGAGGAGUGAUAACUGCUUAUAACCUCAGCAUCUGGAUGAUUGUUGUGCAACAAUGUCAAGAGUGCCGAUUAUUAGUUGUACCUCCGUACUCUCUUUACAUACCAUUAAGAGUACUGAUCAACUGAGCCCCUGAGUUAUUAAUUUGUGUGCGUAUUUGCAAUUACGAAUGCCUAGAAUACUAUGUUCUCAUACCCCCUUUGCAUUACUGCAGGGGCUGCUGAUUCAUCUAAAACAUCUGGGACUGUUAAUGAGCACAGUGGCUAUGACCAACGGCUUAUUGGGGAACUAUUAAUAGGCACAAUGGCAGUUCUUGAUGGUUUAUUUUCUACUCUGUUUCCCAUUGGCAUAAUAAAGUAAAAUACUGCAGUAUGCCUAUGCCUUGUACACCCAACAAUGACCCAUCUUUCCAUCCCCUUUGCAUUGCUCCAGUAUGCAAACCCCCAAAUAGCCACGAUCCCACACUUUAUACAGUCUUCCCUCUGUCCGGCCCCUAGUUUGUCCGUGGCCCACUCUUAUGGACUACUAAUUCUCACAGUCCAAUUGUUGAAGACCUUGCACCCUUUCCCCAGUUCCAUCACCCUGUCCCUUCUGUCUCUUUGUUGAGCCCUUCUCUUGACUUAAAGUCAAUAAUCCCAGAAGUCAUCAGUUUACCCACUGCACAUGGCUGCAGUGUUUCAGUUGCCCUCUGCUUGGUCCUCCCCAUUGAACAGAAACACCUCCACCGCAUUACUCUGUCAAUUAUCCAAAGCAACCUGUGUGUCCUUAAUGGACACAGUACCGAUUGACGGUCCCACUUUUCAGCCCAUGUGUCCAAGAGCUCCCUGCAUCUUGGAUGUGUUUAUACAUGUAAAAUUUCAAAAGCGGGCCAAAACUAGGUGGAUGAACCAUUGCUCUUUAGCUUGCAUUUCUUAAUUACUCCAAUUCCAUUUGCUGGCAUAUUCCAGGGCCAGGAAUCAUUCCUGCCCACCUUUGUUAAUGCUUUAUUGUGCAAAAGAAAUAUUUCAGGCAAGUUGCUCAGGGAGCUGGAUUGCCACCUUUUAUUUGGGGCUUUCCUUAUACAGUAUCAACUGAAAAUUGUCUCCCAAAGGAGGAUUAGCUGGUACUCUUUACAUCCUUCCUCCAGGAGCUGACUGCCUGCUUAACAAACUCAGCUUGUUUCUCUUGGUAUAUUGCUUACAGUGCCAACUGCCAGAAAAGUUAUUGAGAGUUUAUGCCUUAAGAAAGGCAUCUGGCUCGCAAGGUGGAAUUGGUUAUGUGAUCAUUAGCUUUUCUGAGGUAAAAGUAUCUUGUUUCUACUAUAUCUGAUGACCAAGCAGUGUCUCUCAUUUUACUGAGGGUGGUGAGAUUGUGGAUAAACUACUAUAACUGUUAUUCUAAUCCCAUCAAAGCAGUUGUAGAAUGGAAUGCUUAAGGCCAGUAUGUAUGUUUGGUCUGUACUACCAGUUUAAAAGCAAAAAUCAAUCUUUGUGUGGCCUUUAGUAUCAUUAUCUUUAAGGAAAAUGACCAAACUUUUUAAUAUUUAAAUUUGGCCUGACAUAGUGAACACCAGCCCCUACUGAUUUUAAGAAGGUGGCUGUGAACAGAUUAAAUAAGAGAACAUGUCAUGUUGUCUUUGAGUAGGCCAUCACAUUUGAUUAAUUCACUAUAUCUGCCAUUAAAUUUUGGCAAUGAUUUAAAGUAGUUUGAAAAAUAAAAAACCACCCUAAAGUGGGAACUUAAAUAAAAUGAUGGAGCCUGUUUCCCACUUUACAUUUUAAAAUAUAUAUAUGCCAAGAUCUAAUCAUUCUUUUUGAGAAUACAUUUCAAAGAGAGAUCUGCUUAUUAAGAAAAUAUCUGUUUCUAUUGGCGCCGAGUAUUUAAGCUUUCUGGUUUUCGUUCUUUAAUUAUUGUGCAUGAAUGAGUGUGUGUGUGUAUGUGUGUGUGCACGAUUGCAUGUGCACUUGAGUAUCUGCAUUCGCAUUGGUGACCAGAGAGCAAUGGGAACUGCUUCUAUCAUGUGGGUCGGUCCUGGAGCUAAAACUCAGAUCGUCAGGUUUGGCAGCAAGUGCCUUCACCUUCUGAGCCAUCUUGCCAGCCCUCUCCUGGGUACUGAAUGUGACAUUGCUGAUGAAGCCACAGUUCUUCAAAGUUUCUGAAAAAAACGAUACUAUUUUUCUGAGAAGGAUGUCAAGAAAUCGACCCAGUUCAGGAUACAGGUUGAACUUCAGCCCUUCAGCCGACUACAGAAGACUCUGACUGUUUGGAAUACAGGAUGAAUUUGGAGUUGGUCUUGUGCCUCAACUGAAGAAGGAUGACCUGGUUUUGGAAGGAUGGAUUCUAGACAGCAUCCAAAGGGAUAAUUCCAGCAGGAGACUUCAAGGACUGCCAGCAGCUGAUACAGGCUUAUUCAAAUCCAGCAGAUCUCUCCUUUCGAGACUCUGGACAAACUCUAGUUAAUCUGAGCAAACAACAUGCAGGCCACAUGAAGACAAAGAUCUUUCCCCAGAAGGAUGGACUUGUUGCUUUGCGGUGCUGGUGACCUAUUCCCUUUGACGACCCCUAGGUGGAGAUGGGGCAUGAGGGUCCUCCAGGGGAAUAGCUCACCAGCACUGGGCAACAGCCCUAGCCCAGGAGAUUUUUGGGGAGACAUUUUGCUGAACCCCGCAAGGAAGAUAAAAAGUCAAAGACAGCCACCAAACAUCAAGAUAGGAGAAAAGCUGCCAAAGCCGUGGCACACGAGCUUGUCCUGUGUCACCUGGUUCUCAAAGCCACCCUGGAAGCUGUAGACCUUAACCAGCUGUUUACAUGCUGCAAGAUUCACUGUGCUACCGAUGGCCUAGAAUAUCCAUUCCAUCGACCAAAUCGUCAUCCUUCCAAAGCAGCCCAGAAAGCUGGGCCUUCAGCAGGAUCACGAAAUGUGAACGCAUGAAAGGAAGCCAGCUUUAUAACCCAAGGACCAACAUACCUGCAUCUGAAACCAAGAGAAUGAAUGUGUACUGUGUUGGAUGUUUAUUUCUUAAUUGUUUUAUACAUCUAUUUCUUCCUUGCUUUGUGUGUCUCAUUCUUCGAUGUAUUCGUUUCUUCCCUUGAUUUGUGUGUCUUUUUUCCUAACUUUGUGCAUCUAAUUUUUCUAUUUCUCCCUUACCUUGUAUGUCUUUCUCCCUUGUGUGUCUUUAUUUCUUGCCUUGUAUGUCUUUCUUCCUUGCUUUGUUGUCUUUCUUCCUCGCCUUGUAUGUUUUUCUUCCUCACCUUGCAUGUCUUUGUCUUGUAUGUCUUUCUCCCUUGCUUUGUAUGUCUUCCUCGCCUUGUCUUUCUUUCUUUCUUUCUUUCUUUCUUUCUUUCUUUCUUUCUUUCUUUCUUUCUUUCUUUCUUUCUUUCUUUCUUGCCUUGUAUGUCUUCCUCGCCUUGUAUGUCUUCCUCGCCUUGUAUGUCUCUUUCUUUCUUUCUUGCCUUGUAUGUCUUCCUCACCUUGUAUGUCUUUCUUCCUUUCUCGCCUUGUAUGUCUUUCUUUCUUUUUCUUUCUUUCUUUCUUUCUUUCUUUCUUUCUUUCUUUCUUUCUUUCUUUCUUGCCUUGUACGUCUUUCUUCCUCGUAGUGUAUGUCUUUCUUCCUCACCUUGCAUGUCUUUGUCUUGUAUGUCUUUCUCCCUUGCUUUGUAUGUCUUUCUUUCUUGCCUUGUAUGUUUUUCCUCCCUUGCUUUGUAUGUCUUUCUUCCUCGCUUUGAUGUCUAUGUCAAGUGUCUUUUACUCCUCUGUGUACAGUACCUAUUGCCGUGUUUCUCUGCUAAUUUCUUCCUAGUAGAGCUUUGAGCUUUGUCUUAUUUUCUCCUCUCCUCUCUGUGU